rnacentral:lncRNA from 1 species
AUGGACCUGUUCCAUGAAGAAAGAGACACAGAUCUCUCUGUGGAAAGGUGCAGGCUCUGCUGCAGGAGGAAAAUGGCAACAAGAAGCCCAGCAGCACCUGUCCACUCCGACGUAGACGUAUCAGCUUCCUGCAUCUUACUGAGACACUGGAGCCAGAAGGGCCCUGAGGUUUUCAUCACGGUGCUCGCCCCAAGUGCCUCCCAGCUUUGUGUGAGAUUGUGGAGGCAUGUGGCUUCAGGAGGUGGGAAACGGAACAGACACCCCGCAGAGUCCGACGGGGCGCUGAGCUCCUUCCCUGCUCUGCCGAGACAGGCUCGGGCCUCAUCUGUUAUUGGCCAAGGGAAGCAAGGAACCAGGGGAGGUGUGAGGCGUGCACCAGAGGCACCCUUUGAGUUAGGGACGAAGGCCUGGCAGAGCCUGGAGCUAUGGCAUGUUUAAUCUUGGUGCAUGGGUGUCCGCAGGAGCAGAGGGCCCCUCCCAGAGCCAGAUCUGUGGUCUGUCCCGGGCGUCCUCCUGGGCAUCCUGGAGACUCACAGCUCCCGGCCGUGGCUGUGGUCUUCUCCUUCUGUCCUUGGGUCCCCCUGCAGUUGCAGACUGGAUUAACCUUGAGGAUGGACAGUGGUGGCCUGACCGCUGAUUGACAGCCAGGACAGAGCAAAUAUUGACUCCUCACCUCAGGAAAGGGGCCGACGUUCCUUCCGCAGGCACACGCUGACCUUGCUUCCAUGGGAAUCAAUAGAAACCUCUCGAGUCAAUAAAUCUUAAUGUUCCUUUCAACAGAAAUCCAUGCACCUCACUAUUGUUACUUGCCUGGAAUGCGGGGCGGGAGCAGGCCCGGGGUCUGCGCCAGUGAUCAGAGGCCCGGGGUCUGCGCCUCCUCAAAGCUUCAUCAGACCCUCCUGACUGAGACGACUAAAGACCCCUCCCCUCGGAGGGUGCUGACAGCACCCCCCAACUAUUCACAGCCCACUGGGCCCAUCCCUAAACCACCUCCUGCCUACAGGAACAGCAUGGGGAGAGAACAAUGGAAAAGCCACGUGCUGUCACCUGCCUGGGACAGAAUCCCUCUUGUCUGCCAGGCAGGUGACUUGACCCAUCCUUUGAGGGAACUUUGAGGAGUAAGACAAACCCUCACUGUGGAAGGCCAGGGGUCCCCUCUCCUCCCUGGAAUGAUCCCCCAGCGCCGUCUGCAGAGCCCCCCCUAGUGCAGCCCAGAAGCUGAGAAUCAGAGCCCCCAGGAUACUGCGGGAGGGAUACAGGCCGCUCGGGGGGGUCUGGGACUCGGAACAGCCUGGCUGGAAUUCGAGCAUUGCUAAGAAGGAAGUUGAGGAGCCCUGGAGUUCCUGGAGUGUGGGUCUGUGGUCCUUAAACACAUCCCUCAUAUUUAAAAAUAGCCCUUCCUCUCCCACCCCUGUCUGAGCAGCUCUAGAUCCUGCUGGCCAGCCGCUUUGUCAGAUGAAUUCACUGAAAGCAGAGGUCGUCUUCCCAGCCAUGCACCUCUGAAGCCCAAGGAGUUUCCAUGACUUUAACCAGAGACUUGUGCAGCCAGGACUCCUCUAGCGCUGACAUGGUUGGGUUUCGUGUCUCAUCCAAAUCUCAUCUUGAAUUAUAAUCUCUGUAAUCUCCAUGUGACAAGGGAGAGACCAGGUAGAGGGAACUGAAUGGUGGGGGUGGUUUCCCCAUGCUGUUCUCCUGAUAGUGAGUGAGUCCUCAUGAGAUCUGAUGGUUUUAUAAGGGGCUCUUCCCCCUUCACUUAGCACUUCUCCUUCCUACUGCCUCGUGAAGAAGGUGCCUUGCUUCCCCUUCACCUUCCACCAUGACUGUAAGUUUCCUGCGGCCUCCCCAGAGCUCUGAGUCAAUUAAACCUCUUUCCUUUAUAAAUUAUUCAGUCUGGGCAGUUCUUUAUAGUUGUAUGAAAAGGGACUAACACAAAUGCCAAAGGGAGGUGAGACUCAUGGGUUUGGGUCUCAUCAAGCCCUCGUGUUCCCACCACUGCUGUGUGAGCAUGGAGGAAUUUGUCUUCCAGCUUAAGCUGGGCCUGUGGGGAUGGUCAUGGGGCCCACAUAACCCAGGACCUGGAUCUGCUCUGAAAGAAAGGGAACAAGCUGUUAAGAAUGACCCUGUCCAACUGUUUUUUUUUUUUUUUUUUUUUUUUUUUUGAGACGGAGUCUUGCUCUGUGCCCCAGGCUGGAGUGCAGUGGCGCGAUCUCGGCUCACUGCAAGCUCCGCCCCCCCGGGUUCACGCCAUUCUCCUGCCUCAGCCUCCUGAGUAGCUGGGACUACAGGCGCCCGCCACCUCGCCCGGCUAAUUUUCUUGUAUUUUUAGUAGAGACGGGGUUUCACCGUGUUAGCCAGGAUGGUCUCGAUCUCCUGACCUCGUGAUCCGCCCGUCUCGGCCUCCCAAAGUGCUGGGAUUACAGGCUUGAGCCACCGCGCCCGGCCUCCAACUGUUAACUAGCCAGCACAGACAUAUGACACAGCCCAGUAUCGAGGAACGUGGACAGUUUCCCACUGGGACCAUAUCCCAGUCACCCCACUGUGCUGGCCUCUCCUCCCCUGAUAGCACACGGUCCCUCUGGACAACAAGAUAGAGGUGGCUUAAGCCUGGCCAGCUGGACCCCUUCCCAGAGAGUGAGGCUCCCUGGCCUCUCCCUGGCCAGAGAUUGGAAAGCAUGAAUAUGGUCUCAUGGAGAAAAGCAGGUGCAGUGGAGAAAAAUAAAUCCCUGAACAGAGACACAGAAAUGAGAGUGCAUGGAGGGAGGGACACAGAGGCCGAGCUGAGCUGGCAGGGCUGUGUGGGCUGACAGUCCCCUUUUUGCUCUGACAGAAUCAUGGACUGCCUUGAGUCUCCCUCACUACCAAAGUUGGGGUGGGGAGGGGGGACCAGGGACGGGACAGGGAGGGGGACCAGGACAGGACGGUGAGGGGGACCAGGGACGGGACGGUGAGGGGGACCAGGGACGGGACGGGGAGGAGGACCAGGGGCGGGACGGCGAGGGGGACCAGGGAGUGUCUUAGUGACAGGACGGCAAGCAAAGCUCCUCUGGGGAAGGCGCUUGGAUGACGGGAAGGAGAGGGGCGGCUGGAGAGAGAUGCAGCAGCAUUCUGCACCUUCACCCCACUCAGUUCUCACAAAGAUUUAGGCGUGGAUAUGAGAGGACCCAGGGAUCGUGGGAAAGAGCAAAAAUGAAACAGGGAAGUGCUAGGUAUAGUUUAAAUAUAUGUGUAUUUUUUAGUGUAUGAAAAAAUCUAGCAACUCCACAAGAAAAAAGAGGGCACACAAAGUCAUCACAUGGACUCUGAAAAUCAUUGCUUCUCCUGAAAAGAAACACAUUCAGAUUCCCCAAGUGCUUUUCCAUCUUGCUCCACCCCGUGGAAAGGGUUCCAGGAAAAGAAGGAGCGUCAGUAUAUCCCAGGACUUCCCCACAUGUGGAGAGACGUGACAUGGAAGUGAAUGGUCAACCAGAGGAAAAGUUAAGACAAAAAAUUAUUAUGAAGAAAAAACCCUCAUCCACCACUGUAGGAUUCCAGCAGAGGAAGAAGGAACAUUGAGGACCCACCCUGUGCCAAGCUUCCAGGCUGAAUUAAAGGAAAGCCAGGGCCAGGCAUAGUGGCUCACGCCUGUAAUCCGAGCACUUUGGGAGGCAGAGACAGGUGGAUCAUUUGAGAUCAGGAGUUCAAGACCAUUCUGGCCAACAUGGUGAAACCCUGUCUCUCCAAAAAAUACAAAACUUAGCCGGGCAUGGUGGCGUGUGCCUGUAAUCCCAGCUACUCGGAAGGCUGAGGCAGGAGAAUUGCUUGAGUAUGGGAGGCAGAGGUUGCAGUGAGCCGAGAUCACACCACUGCACUCCAGCCUGGGUGACAGAGUGAGACCCUGUCUCAAAUAAUAAUAAUAAUAAUAAAUAAAAAUAAAGGAAGGUCUGGUUAAAAAGACAGAAUAAAUGGUGAUUAGGUGGAGGAGUCAGACCUGAAUAGGUCACUUAGAAAUCUCUUAGCAGGAGUUAGCGACUAAGUCUCUUACAGAAGCAUCUAUAACCACGGAGGCCACUUCUCCAUGUGCCACUGAUUUACUGAUGUUGAACAAAAGGAACAUCAAGAGCCACAAACCCACAGGAAAUCCUGCCCUGCAACAGCCCAGAGGGCAGAGAAAAUGGGUAUUGGAUGACGGAGAGCCCAGGAAAGCCAUUCCAGCCUGCAUCGGAGCCAACAGGAUGGCCAGAGAGUCCAGCGCUGUCAGGAAGAUCACAUGGAGAGAGACAGGGUCUCGCGGUGGAGCCAACAAUGGCACAGAAGGAAAUGAUGGAGAAAAAGAAGGAGGGGACAGUGGCAAAAAAGAAAGAAAAAUAAGUGAACAUUAAAGAACAAACUGGAAGAAAACAUCCCCUAUAACAAUAGUCAGGGAGUUAGUCAAAGGCUUAAUUAGAACAGUAAAGUGAUGAACAAAGGUUUGGUAAAAAUGCCAGCGGUGUCCAUCGUGUGCACUUACUAACACACAUGUAAAUGUAGAAUGAAGAUGAAACAACCUGGGCAACGACAGGCCUUAAAAAACAGUACAAAUAAAAAUAAUAGAACUAACACAAUCCGAAAGAAGCCCGGACAUGUGAGAGGAAGGGAAAACUGGCUGGGUUCUUCCUCUUUCACAGCAAAUUUAGUGAAUAGAGAGCAACUAAAAUGUGAACACACGGCCGGGUGCAGUGGCUCAGUCCUGUAAUCCCAGCACGUUGGGAGGCCGAGGUGGGUAGAUCAUGUGAGGUCAGGAGUUCAAGACCAGCCUGGCCAACAUGGUGAAACUCCGUCUCUACUAAGAAUACAAAAAUUAGGCAGGUAUGGUGGCGAGUGCCUGUAGUCCCAGCUACUCGGGAGGCUGAGGCAGGAGAAUCGCUUGAACCUGGGAGGCAGAGGUUGCAGUGAGCGGAGAUUGCACCACUGCACUCCAGCUUGGGCAACAGAGUGAGACUGUCUCAAAAUAAAUUAAAAAUAAAAUAAAAUAAAAUAAGAACACACGUGCAUUCGCACUCACUCACACACCCUCAUUAUCAAACGUCUCAAUGUUUCUAUUUUUUUCCCUUAAAAAGAUCUUUAGAAAUGAACUUUUCCAAGGUAAAGAAAUGAAGAUCGAUCAUUCCCUUUGUUUUACUUCAUUUUUCAUAUUAAACACAAUUUAAAAUAAAUCAUCUAAUUAGAAGCAUGAGUAGAAGGACUUCCCAGCCUCCCUGCUCUUCCUCCC